AAAAAAAAUGUAUAAAAAGCCCUGCAUGCCAUCUACCAAGGCAGCUCUUAAACGAUGUAGUCAAUGAUGUAAUGAUUGAUUUAAAUAAAAAUUUUGAUUAAUUUUGCCAAAUUGGUAAAAUUAAUUGAAUUCUAUAAUAUCAAAAGGUUCAAAUUUUCAAUGAGAAACGUUUCAUUUGGAACACAGAAAAAAUGUGGGAAGUUCACGAAUGAAAGUAUAGAUUAUUUUUAAUAUUUAAUAUAAAUGACAUGAACGAGUGAUAAAAGGAAAAAAUGGUGAUGAUAUAUAUAAGAAAGAAACGUGCAGUGCAAAAGACCUUCAAAACUGACCUUGCCAUUGAAAACGUGUGGU
rnacentral:misc_RNA from 1 species